rnacentral:sRNA from 1 species
CUAAUGCUCUAGAGUCCCCCUGGGCUGGCCUCAGGAUUGCAAGCAGUGCGAGGGCCUGGUCUCGGCCCUGGUCUCAGCCCUAUCCAGAUGUCCAAGGCAGGUGGACCACCCGCUGAGCAUCAGAAAUGGGUGCCAGAAUGGACUUGGUCUUUGAGAAGAGGCCCAAGGUUCCCUGAGUAAUGGUAGGAGCACCUGGGGGAGCCCCAUGCAUCUUGGGGAUCAGGCCCCAGUUCCGACCCCAGUUCCAUGCCAAUCUCCACUCCCCACCAGCACCACCCAAGUCCUGGGAGACCACGUGAUCCCAUGUCCCUGAGGGGGUAAGCAGUCACACCAGGGAUGGAGCGAGCCUUCCUGUCCCAGGAGACCCUGCCUUGGGAACCCCCAUCCAGCGGCCCUGGGUUCCAGUCCCACCAUGUGCCUGUUGCCUCCAGGGACUCCAGAUUUUCCUGUUUGCUCUUGGCCUUCUGCCCACCCACCCCACUGCCAUGGGCCCAAAGCAGCCGGGUUCCCUGGAGAUCCUGUCUUCCACCUAGUGCAGGGCAUGAGGCCGGGGCCAGGACAGCCGGACCAGGCCCUGGGGCUUCUGAGAGCCGACUCACCUUGCAGGGAGUCCCACCACCACCUUCUGGGGCCCCACACAGUCCCAUGCUGGAACACAUCCCUGUGUGUAAUUUUUUUUAUUUCAUGCAGCAUUAAUUUAAAAAAUAAAGAUAGCAUGUCACUUGCAAA